rnacentral:rRNA from 1 species
CCUGGCUUAGGAUAAACGCUGGCGGCGUGCUUAACACAUGCAAGUCGAACGGAGUGGUCUCCCGAGGAUUGAUGGUGCUUGCACCUGAUGACUCAUUGAAUCACUUAGUGGCGGACGGGUGAGUAACGCGUGGGAAACCUGCCCUAUACUGGGGGAUAGCAGUUGGAAACGACUGAUAAUACCGCAUAAGCGCACAGGACCGCAUGGUCUAGUGUAGAAAAACUCCGGUGGUAUAGGAUGGUCCCGCGUCUGAUUAGCUAGUUGGUGAGGUAACGGCCCACCAAGGCGACGAUCAGUAGCCGGCCUGAGAGGGUGUACGGCCACAUUGGGACUGAGACACGGCCCAAACUCCUACGGGAGGCAGCAGUGGGGAAUAUUGGACAAGUGGGGGAAACCCUGAUCCAGCCGACGCCGCGUGAACGAUGAAGUAUUUCGGUAUGUAAAGUUCUAUCAGCAGGGAAGAUAAUGACGGUACCUGACUAAGAAGCACCGGCUAAAUACGUGCCAGCAGCCGC